GUCCACGCUGUAAACGAUGAACACUAGAUGUCGGGAGAGGUUUCUUCCGGUGUCGUCGCUAACGCAGUAAGUGUUCCGCCUGGGGAGUACGCUCGCAAGGGUGAAACUCAAAGGAAUUGACGGGGGCCCGCACAAGCGGUGGAGCAUGUGGUUUAAUUCGAUGCAACGCGAAGAACCUUACCUGGGCUUGACAUGGGAACGACCGCUCGAGAGAUCGAGCUUUCUCUUCGGAGACGUUCCGCACAGGUGCUGCAUGGCUGUCGU
rnacentral:rRNA from 1 species